rnacentral:rRNA from 1 species
CCUACGGGUGGCAGCAGUGAGGAAUAUUGGUCAAUGGGCGGGAGCCUGAACCAGCCAAGCCGCGGGAGGGAAGAAGGUACAGCGUAUCGUAAACCUCUUUUGUCAGGGAACAAAGGCGGGGACUAGUCCCCGGAUGCGGGUAGCGGAAGAAAAAGCAUCGGCUAACUCCGUGCGAGCAGCCGCGGUAAUACGGAGAUUGCGAGCGUUAUCCGGAGGUAUUGGGUUUAAAGGGUGCGCAGGCGGCCUGGUAAGUCAGCGGUAAAAGCCCGGGGCUAAACCCCGGCGAGCCGUUGAAACUGGCGGGCUGGAGUUGGAGAGAAGUACGCGGAAUGCGCGGUGUAGCGGUGAAAUGCUUAGAUAUCGCGCAGAACCCCGAUUGCGAAGGCAGCGUACCGGCUCCACACUGACGCUGAGGCACGAAAGCGUGGGUAUCGAACAGGAUUAGAUACCCCUGUAGUC